rnacentral:rRNA from 1 species
AGUGGGUGUAGCGUACCUACUAGCCUACGACGGGUACGGGUUGUGAGAGCAAGAGCCCGGAGAUGGAUUCUGAGACACGAAUCCAGGCCCUACGGGGUGCAGCAGGCGCGAAAACUUUACAAUGCUGGCAACAGCGAUAAGGGAACCUCGAGUGCCAGGUUACAAAUCUGGCUGUCGAGAUGCCUAAAAAGCAUUUCAUAGCAAGGGCCGGGCAAGACCGGUGCCAGCCGCCGCGGUAACACCGGCGGCUCGGGUGGUAACCGUUAUUAUUGGGUCUAAAGGGUCUGUAGCCGGCCGGAUAAGUCUCUUGAGAAAUCUGGCAGCUUAACUGUCAGGCUUUCAGGAGAUACUGUCUGGCUCGAGGCCGGGAGAGGUGAGAGGUACUUCAGGGGUAGGGGUGAAAUCUUGUAAUCCUUGAAGGACCACCAGUGGCGAAGGCGUCUCACCAGAACGGACCUGACGGCAAGGGACGAAAGCUAGGGGCACGAACCGGAUUAGAU